rnacentral:lncRNA from 1 species
ACUCGCCCAGUUCACACCAACAUCUCUGAGCUUCUUCAUAACCUUCUCUGUAACGACCCGGUUUUGUGAACCGAAGCUAGUUUAAGCUUUCUUUAAUUAUUUGAGAUUAAACCAAACAUUUCCCAAACCAAGUCUUAUAUAUAUGAUCGUACAUAUCCUCUUCCCUAAUUGAAAAGCCCUAGCCGUAAGAAACCAUCUCCAUCUUCACGAUCUCUCACUCUUUGGUUGCAGCCAUGUAAGAGGAGCUCUGCCAUUGUUGACGCAUCACCACCGUAUCUCUUCUCUGUUGUUAAUGGCUUACCAUCUCUAUGAUUCAAUCUCCACCGAAGAACACAGAUGUAAUCACCAUAUUGGAGCUAGUUGGCUACGUUACGAGACGGAGAGAGAACGUGACCAUAAGCCGGCGCCACCGCCAUGAUCAUCACCAACCACCACGGAGUUGUGCCCCUGUGAACCUAAACCCACCAGACGUGUGACCUAUAGCACCAGAGAUACUUUUGCGCAGCAGAGAUUUCUUCAUGUCUUAAGCUGGGGAGAAGAGAUGGAUACAUCAGACCCAUGGCUGAGGAGUGGUUUUGCGAGAGGUUUCGAGUACGAUCCAGGGGGUUCUAGGCAACGAGUCAUGGCUCUUUGUAUAGAUCUCGUUUCCAGGAAUCUGCAGAAACAAACGGAAUCAAGAUCGGAGUUGUACAGCAAAAGUUAUUGACAUGCUUCUUGGACAAGAAUAAGCUUAAGCUGUUGGAAUGCUGAAACAGUUCCGACCAGUGUCAGAGUAAAGGCGAAACGGUGAACCUUAACAAAGGCUUUCAGUCUGGGACUUUUACAGUAAGUAUUUAACUCUUUCAGUUAUCAUCUCCAACAAACGGAUUGUCAUUCCAAGUUAUUUUCUGAGAGUUAAGCUUGUUUUCGUGAGAGGUGUUGGUGCAGUCUACGUUUUCGACCAGUCUGGAGACGAAGCUAAUUUGAUUAAUCAGAUGGUGUCCGAUCGGAGUAAGACCGGUGGCUACGGAUAUAGGACAUCUAGGGCUACAUUCGGACCGGAGGGAUUGAAAAGUUAACGGUCAGUUCUUGAGUUAUGCAUCUGUUUUCUCUAGUGUUCAGUUUUGGCAGAAUCAUCAUACUCAUUUAUUUUCAGACUUUCGGAGUUGCUGUGAUAGAGCCAUCAAGGGCUAUUCUGUGCUUCUCAGGUUCUUUAGAACCCGUGGCAAAGGUGAGGGUCUAUGCCGUAAAUCCCGUACCAGUGUAGAAUUCUCCCUAUGUUAGUUUAGAUUUCGAAUCAUGAUCCGUCUGUUUGAAUUGAGUCUGUUUGAGUCUUGAUUGUUAGUUAGUUCAUUCAUUGUAAAUUGGAACUAAGGGUCUAGAGGAUUCAACCGUUGAUUUGAUUGUGUGAUGUUAAAAAAUGCGAUAUAUAUAUGUAUGUAUACAUAGUUAUGAGUAGGGACUAUGUGAGUGGGCGGGGGUCCAGAGAUGUCUGGACUAGCGACGCAGCUUUGGAGGGCGGGGGCUCAGAGACGUCUGGGCUAGCGACGCAAAUUGUGUGGGGCGUGGGUGCAGAGACGUUUGCAUUCGACGCAGCUUUGGAGGGCGGGGGUACAGAGACAGACUGUACUAGCGACGCAGCGUAUGUAUAUAUAUAUCCGUAUGAGGAGAUGCGGGGUGUAUGGACUAGCUAUAUGCUAUCAUCGCAUUGCUUGUGUUGUGUGAUGCUUUAGGCGUCUUGUUUGUUCAUGUUAGAGCUAAACUUCCAUAGUGGGAGUUCUAUUACUCAAGUCAGUGGUUUGCGUGUUUAGCAUCCCCAUACCUCACGGAGUAACUCCCCUGUUGCUCACCCCUCUUCUUCCCCUUGCAGGUGCGCUUGCCGAGUGUUGGAUAUCUGGACGGUUGGGUGUCUUUGGGAUAAUUUAUUUAUUUCGGUUUUGAUUACUAAUUUAUACGAAUAUUAGAUUCGAUUUAUUUUGAUAUAUUUUUAUACUUCAAUUUAAAAAUAUAUUUCUUUGAAAAUUAUUUUAUUAAAUGUUAUGUUAUUUUGUUCGAUUUUGAAUAAUUCGGUUUGAUUCGAUAUUUCACCGUAAGUAACACGCCGUUCUCCAUAUAGGAGGUGACGGGUUUUAUAAUUUGGUAUCAGAGCGGGGUUCCGUCCCGGCUCUGACCCGGGAUGGCGAUUUGUUGGGACGUGGUUUCGACUCGGUUUUAAUUCGGUUUAAUCGGUUUUUAAAGAUUUUUAAUUCUGGGGUUUUGGGAGUUUAAAAAAAAAAGAAAAAUACAGCACUUUUCCGUUCAGAAACUUCUAACCCAAGUGUCUUUUUAUUGACGAUGAGUUUAUCAUCGUCAUCCGUUCUCUAGCUAACAGGGUUUCAACCAGAUGUUCGACAGAUGGAUGAUGUCACAGCUCGACAGAUUGCUUAGGUGUGUAUCAGUUUCGUCCGCCGUGUUCGAAGAUUGUCUGCAUAUGGAUAUGUGACAUUGUUGCCACCACCCUAACUUCAAGCCAUCGCUCCACGAGUUUUUGUUAUUGGAGAUUAUGUGAUAUGAGAUGUGAGCCAUGAGUUGGCAUAUGUUAUUUGUGUGUAUGAAUAUAUUUACUUCCUUGGAGGCAUGGUUAUUUUGUAAACUCGUGGGGAUCACUUUUGGAUUGGGGUGCGACAACUUGCGUUGUGUGAUAUUGGACUUACGCUUGGUAUGUUUUCCAGUUUUUGACAGUGUUGAUCAUUUCAGAGAUGUGUCAGUUCGGACAGCUGACAUAGGAGCGUUGGGGGCAAUUUAUAUUGAUUGCGGUGUACUAGUUAUCCUUGGAGGGCCAAUUGGUUCAGAGAAUCAUCAGAGAUGGAGUUGUGUUUUGCGAUAUCAUUCUUGGGAUGGAUUUGUUAUCAUGACAUCAAGUAUUGUUGGAUUGCAUGAGGGUAAGAGUUCAUAUUUCUGGAGCAGAGCAGAUUUUAUUUGCAUACAUGCUACAUGCAGAGGAGUUAUUAGAUAUGGGGAGUAAAUGAAUUUUGGUGAUUAUUUCGAUGGUCAACAUGAAUUGCAGGAUGUUCCAGUUAUCUCAGAGUAUGGAGAUGUAUUUGAGGCCUUUGGAAGGGCUGUCACCAGCCAGAGGAGAUGUUCUUACGAUCGAGUUGGUGUCAAGGAAAACACCGGUUUCACGAGUUCUAUACCGAUUAGCGCCAGCAGAGAUGGCUGAGCUGAAGGAAAGUAUGGAAGAUUCAUCAGACAAGAGAUUUAUCAGGCCGAGUAAUUCACCGUGGGAAGCACCAGUGUUGUUUGUAAAGAAAAAAAAAUGAUGGGAGUUUCAGGCUUUGUAUCGACUACAUAGACUUGAACAUGGUAAGUGGUAACCAUCAUAUCGAUGAGUUGUUGAAUUAGCUGCAUGAAGGUUCAUGGUUCUCGAAAGGUGUCUUGGCAUCAGGACAUCAUCAUAUUGCUAUAGUUGAGGAGUAUGUACGGAAUAUGGGUUUCAGUAUACGUUAUGGAUAUUAUGAGUUUUGGUGACAUCAUUUUGGAUCGACGAAAGCACCGAUAGCAUUUGAGAAGCUAAUGAAUGAUGUCUUUCGCGAACACUUGGACAAGUGCGCGAUUGUACUCAUCGACGACCCCAUUGAGUUAUUCUUGGAGUAGAGGGAGCAUGAGGAGCAUUUGCGGAUUUUAUAUUAAUGCAUCAGGAUCAAGACAUUCCAUAUUCAUUGCAUCAGUUAAGACCUCACGAGACCCACUACCCUAUUCAUGAUUCAUAGUGGCUGCAGUGGUAUUUGUGUUAUAGUUUUGGAGAUUGUAAUUGUACAGGAAGAAAGUUCAGAUUCUCUGGGAUCAUUGGAGUCUGAAAUCUAUCUUCAUUCAUUAAAACCUGUACUUGGACAGUGCAGUUGGAUUGAGUUGGUAGCAGGCUACAAUUGGAUAUUGCAUACCAUAUGGUAAAGACAAUCAGGUAACAAAUGCCUUGGGUAGGCACAUGAACGACGUAUCAGGAACCAAAGAGUUUCAUGAUUUAUUGGGAUAUUUGCUAGUCUCAGAUUGUGUGUCAUUACUGUCGAUGGAGAGACAUAUGGCCUUGGGACUUUGGAGCAUGCAGUUUUGCUAUGGAGGAUACGCCAAGCGUAUGUUAGCGUUAUGGCUUUGUAAGACGAUCGAGAUUGGGAGUAUUGGAUAUCAUAAGUGUUGAGCGGGAUGUACCUGUACCAAAACCGAGUUGUGUGUUUGACGAUAAGCUGUUAAGAAAAGGGAUCUUACAGCAAAUACAUCACUCGUGUUUCUCUACCCAUCGGGAACACGAACGGGUACAAAUAUAUGAAGUGUUAACUAUAAUUGGUCUAGUAUGAAGAGAGUUGUAGCUUCACUGCGUCACAGUGUCAGACAUGUCAGAUGGCUAUGUCAGAGGAUCAGUUAUCUAUUAUGUUAUUUUUGAGCUUGCUUUUGCCAAAGUGGAAAUGAUGCAUGGUGAUUAUGGACGUUGUUAUUGGAUUUUAAAUCACUAUAUUUGGAAAGGAUGCCACAUGGGUAGUCAUGGAUAGACUUACCAAGUCAGCCUAUUUCCUAAGUAAUUCAGAAACAGUCAGAGCUAAUAAAUUGGAGCAUAUCUUGAUUUUGGGAGGUUUCAUUGAUGUCAACAUUGUAUCGGAUUGGGAUUCGAAGUUCACUACAUUUUUGGAGUCAUUCAGAAGGAACUUGGGACAAAGAUCCACAGGAAUACAACUUAUUAUCAGCAUACAGAUGGUUAGUCAAAGAGAACUAUUCAUGCUUAAAGGACAUGCUCAGAUUUGCGUCUUAUAGUGGGAUGGAAGAUCGGAAAGCAUUACAUCUAGCAGAGUUUGCCUACAUCCACAACUAUAGUUCAAGCAUUGAGAUGACACCGUAUACCACUUUGUUGGACCAAAGUGAGGGAGUGACAUGAAUUAGAACUAUCAAUUGUUCAAGAGAUGGUAUAGCAAAUGGACAUGCUCAAGGAUUGGCUUUGGAAAGCCCACGACGGAAGAGGAUUUAUGCAGCGAAGCGCCGUAAGGAUUUGGAGUUACAUAUGAAUGAUCUAGUGUACCUGAAAAUAAUGACAUUUUAGGGAGGACAUAAGGCUCAUGAGCUGAAGCAACUAAAACCGAGGUACAUUGGACUGUAUCCUCUAGUGGAACGAAUUGGAGCAGUUGAUUGGAGUUAUUUUAUCAGCAGUGUAUCAAACUUUCAUGGUGUGAUCUAAGUGAGAUCAAAUGCAUAUGAGAAUUGAUUAUUCAGAUGAGGUAUUGGACAGUCGGCUCAUUAUUUGAAUUCGAGGACGAAUUCCUUAUUAGUGGGGGAGAAUUGUAACGACCCGGUUUUGUGAACCGAAGCUGGUUUAAGCUUUCUUUAAUUAUUUGAGAUUAAACCAAACAUUUCCCCAAACCAAGUCUUAUAUAUAUGAUCGUACAUAUCCUCUUCCCUAAUUGAAAAGCCCUAGCCGUAAGAAACCAUCUCCAUCUUCACGAUCUCUCACUCUUUGGUUGCAGCCAUGUAAGAGGAGCUCUGCCAUUGUUGACGCAUCACCACCGUAUCUCUUCUCUGUUGUUAAUGGCUUACCAUCUCUAUGAUUCAAUCUCCACCGAAGAACACAGAUGUAAUCACCAUAUUGGAGCUAGUUGGCUACGUUACGAGACGGAGAGAGAACGUGACCAUAAGCCGGCGCCACCGCCAUGAUCAUCACCAACCACCACGGAGUUGUGCCCCUGUGAACCUAAACCCACCAGACGUGUGACCUAUAGCACCAGAGAUACUUUUGCGCAGCAGAGAUUUCUUCAUGUCUUAAGCUGGGGAGAAGAGAUGGAUACAUCAGACCCAUGGCUGAGGAGUGGUUUUGCGAGAGGUUUCUAGUACGAUCCAGGGGGUUCUAGGCAACGAGUCAUGGCUCUUUGUAUAGAUCUCGUUUCCAGGAAUCUGCAGAAACAAACGGAAUCAAGAUCGGAGUUGUACAGCAAAAGUUAUUGACAUGCUUCUUGGACAAGAAUAAGCUUAAGCUGUUGGAAUGCUGAAACAGUUCCGACCAGUGUCAGAGUAAAG